rnacentral:lncRNA from 1 species
UUAUAGCUACUUAACUUCUAAUUAUUUUAUUUAUGUUAUUUCACUCAAAUAACUUUGAAAUUUACUAAAUCUAAUAGUAAUUCAGUGAAUAAUUAAAUUUAUUAAUUUUUACUAAAUAUAAUUGUAACAAUAAAUGACUAUUAGUUGACAGAGCUAUUAACUUUAAUAUAACAUUUAAUUUAAUUAAAUAAAAAAUAUCUAAAAUAAUUAAAAAUAUGAAGGUACUAAAUAAAAAAAAAAUAAAUA